GUCAAAUUAUCUGUUCCUACAGUGUUUUUCUUUUUAAAGAUCAACCGGGCCUGGACACGGGUAUUCGGAUAAUCUUACAUCUCCGGCGCAGUAAGACUCGUCACCGAACUGUUGGUACUGUCCUUAUCAACGCCUCCUCCGAACGUCCGUCACUAACAGUAACUAAGAUGGGUUUUGUUUCUGGCACUUUCUUUUCGGCUUGAACAAGAUUUCAGUCGUCACUGGUCAAAAUCAAGCGAUAUAGAAGCCGUUUGAUGAUAUGUUUGACAGAGCCUCCGAGGGAUCCACGACUGCUGCAGUCUUCAGUGCUGUUGCGCGAGGGCAGUUUCUGGGUAGAUUCUUCAUCAGGGUUAGGAGGAGCAAGUGUAGCUGUUACAACUGUGGUCCCAGAUGAUGCGACCAAAAUAAAAGAAUGUUCUUGAUUGUUACCAAGGGGAAGAUUCUUGCUUUUCUUCCAGCUUUCAACCUCCGAUGAAAGAGAGACACCCAUAUCUCCAAAAAACCAUAUGAAAUUCACGAAAAUAAAGAAGUCGGGGAAAGAGGCAGACGGGACACUGCUUACAGCCCACAUUCAGUCAUGGAAUAACGUCAAAAAAGAAGACUUGAUGAUGAUUGAACUUUAGCUUCCACAAGCAGCCAGGGUAACAAAACCUCUUGGCAUCAGCCACUGAACCCCAACAAGAUUCAUUUCUUUGGAUGAAAUCUACCAUGAUACCUUUAUGUUGUUUCAUAAAGCUUCCUUUUCCUUUUUACCAUAGAUAUUCUUAAUGAAGAUGGCACUCGCUUCACCCCAAGAGACAUAACCCCGGAAAAUAUCAAAGAGUUGAUAGUGAAAGAAACAUGGUCUGGCGUGCAAUGAUGCAGGCGGGAUUCAGGAAUUGCCAAUUAUACAUGUUGGUGAGGAGUCGUUUUUUGAGAACACUCCCUUGAGAUGGGUUAUAUACUUAUAUUCGUCCUGUUUUUACUGCAUAAACGUAUAUCUGAUCUCCACGGUGCAGAAGCCUCAUGGUAGAGAUUCAACUGGUGUAAGCAACCCAGAAUGCAGUAUAUGUAUACGUAACAUGUCCUCAAAUCCAAUGUAUUGGAAUUGUGAUAGGAAUAGACAUAUAGCAUCAUUCAAUUCCGUUUCACGCUCCAACCUUAUCCACUCUUGCCGGCGAGCAGGGUCAACCUGCGAUGGCCAACUUACUGGGUGCUCUCGCCUUGUAUGAUUCCUGAGUUGUACAUAAGUCCCACAAAAAUCACACGCCUCAUAUGGACAACUCCUUGCUUUGGAAUUCAUGAAGUGGCGUGCAGGCUCUAUGACAUCCCAACCACUGACUUGCCCUCGACAGAGAGGGCAUACAAGCUUGGACUUGCUCAAGGGAUGGGCUUCUUGCUGUUUACUGGAAGAAGCACAAAACUGCGAGAGGCAGUUCGAGUGGCGGUAGCUUGUAUUGCAAAGGUAGGGGCGGCAACCCUUUCCAUAGGAAGAACAUCGCAGGAGGACAGCACUAUGAGGGUGUUCCAAGCAUAUGGGGCACCUGACUUCUUCCCAUUCAUUCACAUCCUUGUUCGCAUCGUUGUCUAGUCCGGUGAGGUUUUUGUAUUUGUCUUGCUUGGCAGUCUUGGAACAUGAAGGAACAGGACAUGUCCUAGAUUGAUGAUGAUGCAUGGAUCGAAUUCUUCUGUCCUUCGGCAUUGUAUAAUGUUACGGUGUAAUUAAAAUUCUUCAAUGUGUGAAAGUAAUUCCUCUAGUA